CCCCUAAAAGCCAAAAUGGGAAAGGAAAAGACUCGUAUCAACAUUGUCAUCAUUGGACAUGUAGAUUCGGGCAAGUCCACCACUACUGGUCAUCUAAUCUACAAAUGCAGUGACAUCGACAAAAGAGCCAUUGAAAAAUUUGAAAAGGAGGCUGCUGAGAUGGGAAAGGGCUCCUUCAAGUAUUCCUGGGUCUUGGAUAAACUGAAAGCCAGGCAUGAACGUGGUAUCACCAUUGAUAUCUCCUUGUGGAAAUUCGAGACCAGCAAGUACUACGUGACUAUCAUUGAUGCCCCAGGACACAGCGACUUCAUCAAAAACAUGAUUACAGGGACAUCUCAGGCUGACUGUGCUGUCCUGAUAGUCGCUGCUGGUGUUGGUGAAUUUGAAGCUAGUAUCUCCAAGAACGGGCAGACCUGAGAGCAUGCCCUCCUGGCUUACACUCUAGGUGUGAAACAACUAAUUGUUGGUGUUAACAAAAUGGAUUCCACUGAGCCACCCUACAGCCAGAAGAGAUAUGAAGAAAUCGUUAAGGAAGUCAGCACUUACAUUAAGAAAAUUGGCUACAACCCCGACACAGUAGCAUUUGUGCCAAUUUCUGGUUGGAAUGUUGACAACAUGCUGGAGCCAAGUGCUAACAUGCCUUGGUUGAAGGGUUGGAAAGUCACCAGUAAGGGUGGCAAAGCCAGUGGGACCAUGCUACUUGAGGCUCUGGACUGCAUUCUACCACCAACUCAUCCAACUGACAAGCCCUUGCGCCUGCCUGUCCAGGAUGUCUAUAAAAUUGGUGGUAUUGGUACUGUUCCUCUUGGCCAAGUGGAGACUGGUGUUCUCAAACCUGGUAUGGUGGUCACCUUUGCUCCAGUCAACGUUACAACUGAAGUGAAAUCUGUUGAAAUGCACCAUGAAGCUUUGAGUGAAGCUCUUCCUGGGGACAAUGUGGGCUUCAAUGUCAAGAAUGUGUCUGUCAAGGAUGUUCAUCAUGGCAACGUUGCUGGUGACAGCAAGAACGACCCACCAAUGGAAGCAGCUGGCUUCACUGCUCAGGUGAUUAUCCUGAACCAUCCAGGCCACCUUUGGCUUGCUCGGGAAGUUCAUAUGCAGAACAUUUUACCUAUACAGGUAUUGAUCGACUUACCACCUAUGCAACUUAUGACCAUUCGACUUUACGACCACAAUCGCUAG